rnacentral:rRNA from 1 species
UACGAAGGGUGCAAGCGUUAAUCGGAAUUACUGGGCGUAAAGAGUGUGUAGGCGGUGCUCUAAGUUCGGUGUGAAAUCUCCUGGCUCAACUGGGAGGGUGCGCCGGAAACUGGAGUGCUUGAGCGUGGGAGAGGAAAGCGGAAUUCCUGGUGUAGCGGUGAAAUGCGUAGAUAUCAGGAGGAACACCUGUGGUGUAGACGGCUUUCUGGACCAUAGCUGACGCUGAGACAUGAAAGCGUGGGUAGCAAACAGG